rnacentral:ncRNA from 2 species
ACUUAAUUAACGGGGUGCCACUAGGCUGAGAACAUACCCAUUGAACCUGUCUGGAUAAUGCCAGCGUAGGGAAGAUGAUUUCAAGCACG